rnacentral:rRNA from 1 species
CCUACGGGAGGCAGCAGUGAGGAAUAUUGGUCAAUGGGCGUAAGCCUGAACCAGCCAAGUCGCGUGAGGGAUGAAGGUUCUAUGGAUCGUAAACCUCUUUUAUAAGGGAAUAAAGUGUGGGACGUGUCCUAUUUUGUAUGUACCUUAUGAAUAAGCAUCGGCUAACUCCGUGCCAGCAGCCGCGGUAAUACGGAGGAUCCGAGCGUUAUCCGGAUUUAUUGGGUUUAAAGGGUGCGUAGGCGGGCUUUUAAGUUAGCGGUGAAAGUGUGUGGCUUAACCAUAGAAUUGCAAUUGAUACUGGGAGACUUGAGUAUAGUUGAGGCAGGCGGAAUGAGUGGUGUAGCGGUGAAAUGCUUAGAUAUCACGCAGAACCCCGAUUGCGAAGGCAGCCUACCAGACCGUGACUGACGCUGAUGCACGAGAGCGUGGGGAUCAAACAGGAUUAGAUACCCUGGUAGUC